UGACAAGUCAUCGUCAUCCCUGUCAAAUUUUGGAAUGACGGUGCAUGGUUUCCCCUCCACAGUGAAAAGAGUCAAUACUCAGCGGUCAUUUCCGUUUUGUAACUAGUUCAAGGAUUACGACAUCCAAAUGAUUUGCUGACAUCGCGAAAGUCCUUUUCAUUUUAUUACACAAGGUCGCAAGUUAUCACCGGUAAUAGUUUUUUGCUUGAGGGAAAAUGCUGUACAGCACAAGCCGGCCAUUUUGGAUUGCAUUUGUGAUGAGGAUGGGGCAGAUUCUUUUUCUUCUUUCUCGAAAGAAACUCAAAUGUGCCAAGAAUCGAACCCUUUCUCCUAAUCCACCAUUAAGGCUGAUGCAACGAAAACGACGAUCUAGUUUUGUCACAGCUGCAAGAGCGUCCGGUCAGUUGUGAGUUGCUUCUUUUCUUUACUUUCUUUUUUCAUGCGUUACACCUGUUUGUUGCAAAGGUUUUGUUUGUGCUACUAUCAACUGAAGUAGCCAUAUGAUGUGUCAAUCACGUAUACGGAGAAAAAAGCUUUAUUUACUAUCGUUUGGGUGAAACCGUUAUUGCAUUAAUUUUACCAUUGAAUUAUGUUAAUGGUUUUAUCUUUCAUUAAUAACUCGUAACUAUUGAGAGUAGUGCACAACAACGUUUUGAUGUUGUAAUGUAUUUUUUGGCUUGCUAGAUUCAAUCAAAAUCAGCGUUUUGUGACUAGACCAUGGUGACUUUUUGACAAGAGUGUACGUUCUUGCAUUAGGACAAUAUUCAUUUGAAGAAUUAGUUUCUCUUUGCAAUUUUCUUUUGGUGACUUUAGUGCUCUCGAUGUAAGUGUCUUGGUGUCCGUGCAUAUGAAACUUCCCAUGUAUAAUAACGUUAUCAGAUCGAUAAGCUAAAAGUCUGGUUGGUUACCAAUUGAACUGUAGACAGUUUGACACGUUGUUCAUCAAAAAUUUCUUUAUUCGAAGCGUCAAUCGGGAAUGAAUAUAGCAACAUGCUGAUUUCAUAUUAUUUGAGAAAAACGCACAGAUAUAGCAGGAAGAGGUGGGUCGUACGAUAUACAUUCAACUCACGUACACCCCAUACCAACAAGGCACAUUCCACAUUAUUGAAAGAAACCACCAGCCCUAUUUGCCACGGAACUACGAACUAAUCAUCAGUGACGCUUUGUGAUGAAGUCAGAAAUUUGCUUCUUUUGCUGCAAGUACUCCAUAACUUCUCAUGGAAUGGCUGAUAACACAAAUGUUGUGUAAAAAUAAAGGAUAUUGUAGCAUCGUUAUAAAUUUCCAACAUCCGGAGUGUACCGCAUGUUCCAUUAACGAUGUCCUACAAGAAUUAAGCUUGUGUAGCUCCAUCGUAAUUAGGGAAAUUGCUGCUGGGAUCCAUUACGCAGGCGUCUCAAAACAAUUGCUGAUUCUUUUGCAAAAGGCGAUAAAACAAUACUGGAUUAACGGCAGCAUUUGCUAUGGCCAGCCAAUAAACGCUCAUGUAAAUCCGUUUCGUCGUGACAUUCUCUUCCGUCUGAAAAGCCUGGUACAUCAAGUACGUCUGAUAGGGUAGCCAGCACAAACAGAAGAUGACCAAUAUCGCCCACAUGCCACCUGCUAAAUUCUUAAACGUAGAUAAAACGACACUUAGCUGGAGAUUAUUUCGCAUUCCAUCGUCCUCGACGGUUAGGACGGUACUUGUUGUUAGUACGACGGCGAUCCGGAAGUUCCAAUAGGCCAUUGACACCGAUGGCAGAAGGAAAAUUGCCUUAAGGACGUUAAAAAGCUUACCCAUCAAGGAUGUAAAUGAAAUUGAAGAUGCCUUCUAAAUAGAGCAUAGCAAAAUCAGCUAUUGUGAGGCUCAACAUGAAGCAACUAUGAGCUUUGGCCAAUCGUCGUCGAGCUUUUUAAAAUUGGUAUUAUUUAAAAGGUUUAUUUUCUCGUUAUUAAAUUUAUUAUUAAAGCCAUAUAGUUUCAUACCUAUUAUAAACCAUGUGACUAAGCUAUUGCCCAUUGUAGCCACAACAAGAAGUACACCAAAUGCAAAAAUCCAUGCCGUCUUCUCAUCCGCGUCCAACUGCGACGUAGACACUCCAGUCAUGUUAGAAGCCACUAAAAGGUGAUCUUUUGCAUCUUGGCCAAUAAUGGGUUCUUUCAUCCUUAGUUAAUCUAGGGGACCACUGAAUGGGUAAGAGAAAAAUAAAAUAGCGCCAUUUGCUACACUUGAUUAAGUGUGACAUUUAUGGUAUCCGAAUCGCGUUGUGUGAUGAUUAAUUGGUGUCGGGCUAUUAGAUUGAGUAGCGUGCAAGUAAAAGACUGAAGAGAUCGAUUACCACUUUCACAUUUGAUAGGGAUCGUGUCACACUAUUUCUUCUCUCAUUCCCUUUUUCUUUCUACAAACGGUUUCCACGUCUACGUAUUUUAAAUGUACCAUCUUCAUUCUUUCUUCCUGUAAACCAGCAGAGCCUGUUUCUUUUAUUUUACUUUUGACAUCACGAAGUGUUUCGCUUGGCACUUUUGUUUAGUGAUUUUUAAAGAAUUUGGGCUGCCAAUCAACUAAGGGUUUUUCCUUUUAGAUUGAUCGCAUAUUUCAUUCACUAGCUGCACGUUUAAUGCAAGGCUUGCUAGCUCCUCGAUGGAGUACUUAGUACUAGGACUUUAUCUUUUGGAAGUUUUGGGGAUCUUUUUAAUCAUAUUUCUCUAUUUUAAAGCAUGUGAACCUUAGAUAUCUUUUGGAAAGAUCCAUAAGUCGACAAGCUUUGAAUUGAUGUAUGUUGGAUCAAAACAUUUGAUGCAACCCUGAUCAAGUCCCAAACGUAGAAAUAUUUUACUUACUAGCUUUUCUAUACAACUUGAUUCCGAAUUCAUUGGACCUUUUUACAAAUUCUUAUCGCAUAAUCUUAAAUUAUCACAUAACUAUCAUACAAAAUUUAAAGCUAGAAUUGAUGAGUCUCUUUUUUUUUUCCCUAUUCUGGCUUUAUACGCUUACCGGGUAUUCCGGCGGAAUUUCACGGGCUGUGACGAUAAUUGGUAACGGACGUUUCAAUAUCACUUAGCGUCCGACUUCUCAGGAUGUUGUAAACUGGCGUUCAAAAGCUAGAUAUAGCAUCUUGUAAUAGAUCGUAGGCUUUUUACAAGAUUUUCCUUUCCCGGUGCCUAAAGGAAGGUAGCAACGACGGACAUGCGCUAUGAUAAGUUUCCAAAUGAAGGAGAAGUCAGGACAGUUUAGAUGUCAAGGAGUCCGACUGAUAAAGCUUCUGAACACUUCCAUUACAAAGUUAUUCGACAAGCAUUCUUUUUAUUUUCUUGUAACUUGUAAAAAAAAAACGUUUGAGCAUCUGUAGACGGGCGAUAUCACGGUGUGGGAAGCAAAGCUAUUAAAGGAUCGUAGAGAAGUCGAUUGCUAUUCACUCCCCAGAGGAAAUCGAGAUGAUUGAACUCUGGCCAAUCAAUCCUCACAGAUGACUGCAAGUUCCCCAGCUGUUUUGACAGCCACUCGAUGUCCUGUCGCAAGCAAAUCCCCAGGACCCCAGAAGAGGUACACUGGAGCUGUCACCAGGCUAAGAUUGUACGAUGGAGGCCGGGAGAUACCAUAGCGGCGUAAAUUCUCGGAAGGACCGUGGUCGUAGGCCCGAAACUGUUCUCCUUCACGUUUACCUGCACCAGACGGAAAGCUCUGGUGCGUGUGGAUCGCAAAAAGAACUGACCGUCUACGUGAGGAGCAAGGGCCUUCACAGGGCUGUUGAAAUGGGCCAUGCUGGCAACAGGUGCCAAGCCAAUCAUCAAAUCGAUUUUAUGGUUCAGUUCCGGCCGACUGGCCGUCGCUAUAUAAAACAUGGCAGCACCCAUUGAAUGACUGCCAUAACAUGAAGCACGUUAAUCCUGUUUACGAUCCAUUGUUGUUAACAACUUGUUACCCGAUAUAUAUAAGCUUGGGUUGCUGAGUCAACUUGAGAAUGAAUUCAAUGUUGGCAGGCACGUCAUACAGCCCCAUUUCGUCGUACCUAAUGCGUUGUUACGAGAAAUUCCAGUAUGCUUCUUUUUUGGGAUCCAGUUGGACGUGUUGUCUCGAAUAUGUGUUUCCUCUUGAAUUUGAAAGGGAUUGACCGGCAGGAUUGGUGAUCCAGUCAACAUCUGUACUCAAUAGCCCAUGUUGGAGCAAUACAGGUCGACCACUGGACAAACCAAUACGAUGCAAUUCCAGAAUGUAUCCAUCUUCUGUUGUGACGUGGUAGACGGUGCAAACAUAGCCACGUGAACGGAUUAUCUCCACCUACAGAACAAAAGUAUUCAGAACCAUUUGAUACAUGCGCAUGUAACUCAUUCGUACCGUUGACAUGGUGGCAUCCGGAUUGCGGACAUUGGUGGCAAUGCAAAGGGUGUGAUGAACCAACGUCAGCACCAGAAUUUCGACGAACAAGACAAGUCGCAUUCCCAACAAAGGACGAAAAGACUGACCCAUCAGCUGAACAGCUAACAGCCAGGUGUAAGGGCCAUUGCACAGCUAAUGAAUGAGAAUGAAGAAGAAAUUGAAUGUAUCCCUACAGCAACCUCUCUAUACCUUUCGAUUUGCCGUUGGGGAUUUCUGAACACGAAUGGCUGUCUGGCUUAAGCUGGAAUACCGUUUUAGAGCACUGUUCGUCAAGCGGGUACGGGCUUAACUUUUUUGUCACGUGUAGAGUCAAAAUUCUAUUAUAGGGUUCAUGACCUUGAUGUGUGUCAGGUUUGAUGAACCCGUUAUUGCCAUAGAGAGACGAGAACGGCUGGCUACCUGCGUCGAAUAAUAUAGUGAUGUCCUGUAGUAAACUACGUACAGGUAAAGCUCCGACCCCAAAUCGUCUUUAUGCUGGAAAUUCGAAUGUCAUGUAAAAAGAAAAGUUUAUUUCUUAGUCUGGGAUUUUGGCUCAGAAGAUUUCCACACAAUAUUAGUGUAAUGUUACACAUUGUCACAUUAAAAUAUUUAUUACAAACAUGUCGAAUGAGGUAGAUUCAAUUGGCCCUGCAAUACGCGUGUUUGCAGCUUCUAUUUGAAGAAAAAGAAAUAAUUGAAACAAUGAAAACAAUAAUAAAUAUUGACUCGAGUAACAUACCAAAAAGAUAAAAUUUAAAGAAUACAUUACUUUUUGAAAUACG